CCUAUGAUCACCUUUACAUACGAUAGAGUGAGAACAAAGAGGACCCAGGCCAGCACCUGAGGAGCACAGAGGCAGGCAGGAGUACGACUGCACUGAUGGAAGCAAGGUGUUGGUCAGAGCGCACACCCAGGCCAGUAUCCCAAAGAUAUAAAACACCUGCAUCCAGCUGUAUGAGCCGGUGCCGAAGCUGCUUCUUGGCUUUGGGUUUGCUUCCAUGUAGGGAUCCAUCAUGGGCUUCUGCUCGGCCAGCUUCCUCUCUGUCAAAGAUUUGUCUUUCACCCCGUUUUUGUAGCAAGUGUUUGGGUGCUCCCUGGCCACGGCUGGGUGGUAGUUCAGCAGCAAGAACGCCACCAAGCACACCAGCAUCAUGGCACUCAGGAAGAAGAAGAACACCUCCACAGAGAAGUUAGCCGGCUGAUAUUCGGCCCUGAGGUCAAAGGUCGAGGCACUGUUGGUAGUGUUCAUGGUGUGGUUUAGUGACGGUGUGCUGUUAGUGCAGUGGACGACCCCCACGCCCUGAGUCAGAGCCACCAGAGCAGGCAGGAGGCCGCUCACACCCUCCCCGAUGUAGUACGUGGUCAGGUACUGGGGUUUUAAACGCAUUGUGAAGGGCAGGAAGGUGACAGAGGAGGUGCAGUCAACAACAGAGAGGAAGAAAGUCAACGCAAGGAGGGCUACGCUCCGAGGAAGGCCGGCUACAACAACCGUCUCCUUCCAGAAGAACCCCAGCAGGAAGCUCGCCACAGUCCCCAGCCCGAUGAUCAGAUAUAUGACGGCUAUCUCAUUCAGGGCGCCAGGAUGAAAGCGGUGCAUCACAGUGACAAAGAGGGGGCCAAUGUUGGCCAUCUGGAUGAUUACCGAGAGGUACGAAGGAAGCAACCAGCCCUCUGGGAUCUGGGGGACAAUGAGGGGCAGCUCCACCCAAAGGCCGUUGAUGGAGACCCAGGAACCCAUCCCGAACAGGCAUGCCAGCAGCUUGCAGAAUUGGUUUCCACACUCACCACCAGAGCCUCGCCAGUAGUGCUUCCUACGAGAGGAGGACAGGGACUGAGUGCUGCUAACGCCAUGAGAUAUGCAGCAAAUACUCCUGCUGCUAUGGACAGGAUGCCCAGACCAGGGGAGGACCUAGAGGACAAAACAUGAGCUCAUCAAAACACUGUUGUCAUAUAUUCGAUAACAAACAUGGCCAAGAAGCAGGCCAGGGGGUUUGCUAUGUUUCCGAGGACCACAGACAGGUGAAAGGUCAUGGUGCCAUAAGGCAAACAGGUGAAACUCUGCACAGACGGCAGCACCCCGUUGGUGAGCGCGUUGGAGACAGCGAGCAGAAACAGCAGGUAGAUGUUCCUCUGAGUCCAAAACGUCUGAGCAGGAGGUUGUUCCUCGAUCUGAACCUGCUCCUCAGACACCGGCGUCAUCGCUCCGUUAUGCAGAGGAUGCGUCUCCUCUCCGUUUUUGGCUGCUGUCGUGUUGUCGUCCUCCUGUGGUAGAGCAUCUUUCUGUGGCUCUGUCUGCCUUCGCGUUAUAGCCCAGAAGCUCACAGACGAGACUGACAGCAUGACACACAAGAACCAGAAGAAGUUCUGUGCUGGAAAGUUCUCUUUUAAAUACUCUGGCGUCACCGUGCCGUUCACAGUUUUGCAUUCCAGCUUACCGACGCCUUGUCCUAACGCCACGAUGCAGGGGAACAAGGCGCUGAAGCCCUGACCUAUGAAGAAGGUACGGAUAUACUGCGGGGGGUAACGGAACAUGAAAGGCAGGAAGGUGACGUUGGACGUGCAGCAAACUAAAGCCAACACAAAGGUGAAUAUCAGGAACAGCAGGGACCUUUCUUCUCCUGCUAUUGUGACGGUGUGAGACCAGAAAACAGCCAAGAGAGCCGACGCUGCCACCGCCAGCAGCUGGAUGCAGUGGAUGAUGAGGCGUUCAUUCAAACAUCCUGGAGCGCAGUGAUGUGUGAUGGUCACUGCGAUGGGGCCGAGGUUCCCAAAGGCGAUCAGUACUGAGAGAUAAGCGGGCAGGUUCCAGCCUGAAAAAGAGGAAAGACAAUUAUCUAUUAGAGCGAUCGAGGCAGUGAAGAGCUUCUGUCAAUCCCAAAAUCAAAGACCUUUCUAUUUCCCUCUUUUUGUGCUUCCUCAUCAGGGGUGGGUUAAAAUAUUGAUACAGCAAUAUAAUGUCAUCCUAACUUGUAACAAACAUUUGGAUCUCUGACGCCGAGUCUGGAUAUCUUCAUUUGAAAACAAUACGACCCAUGAAACAGAUUUCCCUUACUACUCCAUGAUUCCUCACGGUGGUGCUAACGACAUGUCCUAUACUUUAACUGAUGGGUUGAUUAAUCUCUUACAUUACACAUUUUUUUUUUUAAAACUGACCACAUGUUUACUGAGUGAAACCUCAAUAUGAAGUAGAUAUAGCAGCAUUCAUACUUUCAAGCAUGCAUUCCAAAUUGCUGCACAAAAGAACAGAGACUGAAAACAACAGUAAUAGGUAAAAGUGGAGAGGAAAGGGAUAU